rnacentral:lncRNA from 1 species
CCAAAUUGUGAACCAAUUUAAUAACCAAUUGGGAACAUGUUAGGUUACCACCAUUUUGAAUUGGAGGAACCAUGUGUGGGAAUUAUAUUGGUUUUGGAUAGUAAGUAUACGAUGCCAUACAUCAAUAUAAUCAGAGUAUCUAUAAUGCUUAUUUGGGAAAUCUGGUGAUUGUAAUUUUAUGGAGCGUGAAGGGUUUGAGCCCCAUUCAUUGAAAUUCAAUAUUUCCCGUAUCUGCACUUUUUAAUAUGAUAUAAUCUUUGAAUUCUUAUGAUAAUAAUGAGUUAGAUAUAUAGAACAUGUCUCAAGUAGAAUCAUCUCAAACCACUCUCUAGUUUUCAGACCAUUAGAGGGGUUUAGGUUAUUGCAUAGGUAAUAUUUAGCUACCGUAUUUAGGUCUUCUGAAGCAUGUAUGUUUUCAAUAAUAGCAUCGACCAAAAAGGCAAUAUUUUCAUAUGGGGAUUUGUCUGAGGUUGUAGGCUUCCUAAUGGUUGGAGAUUGUGUAUGAAUAACGGAGUUUGAGGAGAUAAUGGUGCUUGGCUAGAAUGUUGUGGAUAGUUUAAUGGACUAUUUGGGAUACUGGGUGAAUAUGGAGUCAGGCUUCUGUUUGGAGAUUGUAUUGGGACAAUAUCUAAUGAUGAUGUUUCAGUUUGGGCCUUUCUUUUGGAUUGUAUGGUAUUGGUAUUCAUGAUUUGAUUAUCAAUCGCUCAAUUUUUACUGAAUAAUAUUAAUGGUAAAGAUAAUUCAGGUGGAUCAAAGCUAUCAGUGUUGCCCUGUCUGCAAAAAUUCACGAGUGAGAAAAUCAGGAAGGUGGUUAGUAAAACCUUUUAAAUGUUCAAUAGAAAAGUCGAAGGAUGAUAAAAUUGCUUGCGAUCGGGCAAAGAUUUGUUUCGAAACCAAGUUUUGCACAUCUUUCUCAAAAAUAUCUUUGGCAGCUUUGCAAUCAGUACUAAUAAGAAAAUGAGUAUUUAAGAUAUCACUUUGGAAUUUGGUAAUACAAUGUACAAUAGCAAGAAGUUCUUUUUUGACAGUAGAAUAAUUUUGUUGAGUAGAAUUCCAUGCUUUAGAUGUAUAUCUUUCCAAUUGUUCAGUGGUGUUUAUUUUUUGUUUUAAUAUACCUCGUAAUCCUAAUUCAGAGGCAUCACAUUCAAUUAUUUUAAAAGUAUUAGGUUGGGCUAAUGUUAGGCAAGGUAACUCUUUUGCUUUGAGUUUAAUUGCUUGUACAACUUGAGUAUGUUCAUUUGUCUACUUAGGAGGAUUCUUUUUUGGUCUAUCAUAUAGGGGUUUAGCAUCUAAUACUAGAUUUUCAUAGAAAUCAACAAUAUAAUUUAAACAACUUAAGAAUCUUUGUAAUUCAGUUUUAUCUAAUAUAAUAUCUGAAAAUUUAUCAGCAAAUUGAAUAGAUCUUUCUAUUGGGAUAAUUGUUCCAUGAUAAAUAUGAUGUCUUAAGAAUCUAAUCUUAGUUUGACAUAUAUUAAUUUUUUUAGCAGAGACUACUUGUCCUACAUGUUUAACGCAGAAUAAUUAUACCAAUUUAUGUAUGCAAUCCAUAGGAAAACAAACUAUGAGAAUAGAAAAUAUGAUCAGAUCAAACCCAAUUCUAGAACCUAAGAAAACUUUAUUAUUUAAACCUCCGGUUGACUUAAGUAAAUUUCGUAUGAUUGAAAAUCAUAAAAUUUUAAUGGAUCAACUAAUAUCAAGACUAGCUGAUUUAGAUAUAAAAGAUAUAAAAGGAAAAACUAAAAUACCAAAAUCUUUUACUUUAGCCCUUCAAGAAGAAAUACCAGUAAUAGAUGAUACUAUUGAACACCAGACAUUAGCUUUUACAUAAUCAAAUAAUCCACAUAUUCAAAUAAUAGCAUAUGGUAAAGGUUGGAAACCUGCUACUGCGAGACCUUACCAUCAUAGACCCACACCAGCUGAUAUUCAAUUUGAAGAAGAUUUAAUAUCACAUACAACUUCCUAUUCUGGAAGAUCAAUAGUUAAUUGGAACAUUGAUGGCAUGGCUGAAACCCAAAUAUUAGAUACUAUGAAACAUUUGACAAUGUAUGCUUCAGCCUAAAAAAUAGUUGGCAACCAAGACCAAGAAGUGGUCAAAGUUAUAGUCUGUGGAUUUAUUGGCUGGUUAAGAGGUUGGUGGAAUUUUCACUUCCCUGAAACAUUAAAAAAUCAAAUAUUAAUCAAUACUCAUCAAUGGACUGAUAAAAAUGAACAAAAUCAAGAUAUCCUCUAUUCUGAAAGUGAUGCUGUUAAUACUCUCAUUUAUACUAUAACACUUCACUUUGUGGGGAGUACUGCAUUAAUGGAAGCUCAAUCUGAGGAUUUACUUUCAUAUUUAAGAUGUCCAAUUUUAUGACAAUAUAAAUGGUGUAAGGAUGUAUCUUUUUCUAGACUCUUAACCCGAGAAGAUAGUCAUCUUGAUCACUGGAAAAAAAAUUUAUUUCAGGUCUACCAUAUUUAUUUGCCAAAAAAGUUAAAAUCAGAUUAAAGAAUAAUCGUGGUGGAACUAUACAAUAUUCUAAUUAUACUUUAGGAGAAUUAUCAGCAGAAAUAUGUGUUGAAGGAUUAGCCCUUUGCACAGAUAUAAAAUUAAAGAAACAGUUAGAUAAAUAGAAUAUGACAAGUAAAAAAGAAUUAGGUGAUUUUUGUCAACAAUUUGGUUAUAGCAUAGACCAAAGUAUGGACAAAACUCAUAAACAUAAACAUAAAAAAUAGAGACCUGAUAAGAAAGAAAGAAAAUUAUAUAAAAGAAAGACAAGAGAAAAAUAUAUAAAUAAAUUCUUGCUCAAAGAUCAUUAUAGAAAAGGCAAAAAGAAGAUACCCAUUUGUUAUAAAUGCGGAAGAGUAGGUUAUUAUAAAAAUACAUGUAAGGCUAGAAAAAAAAUUAAAUGCAAUCAUAUUAGAUAAAAACAUAAGAAAUCAAAUAUAUGAUAUUAUCCAAUUAGAUAAAGAAGAAUCUACUUCAAGUUCAGAAAAUGAUAGUAGUAAUGAUAUUUCUCUUAUAGAACAAAUAGAAGAUGAAAAUAUUAUAAUUUCAAGCUCUUCUGAUAUAGAAUGUUCUUGUAGUAUGCCAUCUUGUAAUAUGUUAUCAAAAGAAGAUUCAUUAAUCUUAGAUAUCAUAGAUAAGAUAAAUAACCCUGAUGAGAAAAGAGAAAUCUUAACUCAGUUUAUUAAUCUUGCAAAAUCUAAACCUAAAUCUACUUCUUUACUCAAACCCUCAGAUGAAUAUAAUUUUGCUGAUAUAAUGAAAAGAAUUAAUCAAAAAAAUAUAUACAAAAAGAAUCUACUAUAGCUGAACUAAAACAAGAAGUCAAUGAAGUAAAAAUAGAAAUAAAUCAUCUCAAAAAUAGAAUUAAAGUAUUGGAAUUACAGAAUGAGGUUAAUGGAAAAAUAACUGAUUCAGAUGAAAUUGAAUUCACCCAAUUAGUAGAUACNNNNNNNNNNNNNNNNNNNNGGCAUUAUUUGGGAUAGAGCCCCAAAUUGUGAACCAAUUUAAUAACCAAUUGGGAACAUGUUAGGUUACCACCAUUUUGAAUUGGAGGAACCAUGUGUGGGAAUUAUAUUGGUUUUGGAUAGUAAGUAUACGAUGCCAUACAUCAAUAUAAUCAGAGUAUCUAUAAUGCUUAUUUGGGAAAUCUGGUGAUUGUAAUUUUAUGGAGCGUGAAGGGUCUGAACCCCAUUCACUGAAAUUCAAUAUUUCCCGUAUCUGCAUUUUUUAAUAUGAUAUAAUCUUUGAAUUCUUAUGAUAAUAAUGAGUUAGAUAUAUAGAACAUGUCUCAAGUAGAAUCAUCUCAAACCACUCUCUAGUUUUCAGACCAUUAGAGGGGUUUAGGUUAUUACAUAGGUAAUAUUUAGCUACCGUAUUUAGGUCUUCUGAAGCAUGUAUGUUUUCAAUAAUAGCAUUGACAAAAAAGGCAAUAUUUUCAUAUGGGGAUUUGUCUGAGGUUGUAGGCUUCCUAAUGGUUGGAGAUUGUGUAUAAAUAACGUAGUUUGAGGAGAUAAUGGUGCUUGGCUAGAAUGUUGUGGAUAGUUUAAUGGACUAUUUGGGAUACUGGGUGAAUAUGGAGUCAGGCUUCUGUUUGAAGAUUGUAUUGGGACAAUAUCUAAUGAUGAUGUUUCAGUUUGGGCCUUUCUUUUGGAUUGUAUGGUAUUGGUAUUCAUGAUUUGAUUAUCAAUCGCUCAAUUUUUACUGAAUAAUAUUAAUGGUAAAGAUAAUUCAG